UACAGAGGGUGCGAGCGUUAAUCGGAGUUACUGGGCGUAAAGGGCGCGUAGGCGGUUGGACAAGUGAGAUGUGAAAUCUCCGGGCUUAACCCGGGAACUGCAUUUCAGACUGUCUGGCUGGAGUACUGUAGAGGGUAGUGGAAUUUCCGGUGUAGCGGUGAAAUGCGUAGAGAUCGGAAGGAACACCAGUGGCGAAGGCGGCUACCUGGACAGAUACUGACGCUGAGGUGCGAAAGCAUGGGGAGCAAACAGG
rnacentral:rRNA from 1 species